GGAAAACUACAUGACAACGUCACCAAGACGAAGAUCAACAUUGUCAUCAUCAUCACGAUUCUGGUGGGACUUCAGUGGAUCUUUGGCUUUUUCCUCAUCAGAGACGCCGAGCUGGCCGUUGCCUGUGUUUUCUUCGUCCUGAACUCUCUGCAGGGACUGUUCAUUUUCCUGUUCCGGUGUGUGCUGCAGGAGGAUGUCAGGUCUUCCUGGCGCACGUGUUGUGAUCGCGAUCACACCACGACCCCUGACGGCACCGUUACGGCAGCUUUGUUGGAGAAACCGACCAGCCCGCCUGGGUCAAACGACGCUGAGAAGGGUGAGAAGCCGCCUAUAGAAGACGAGGAGGCGGUCCCUCUGGUAUCUCCGUAAGCUUUACACUGCUGUGUGAAUUGUUAAAAAUUUCCCAGCAUCUGUCAAUGGAUAAGUCGACGAAAUAAUUAAAUUGUGACUUUAUAAAUCAUGAAGUGAUUACAUUAGCGUGAUGCCUUUAUAGUUUUCUUGCAAAAUUAAUCAGAAUCAAAAAAAAGGAAAUAUUUAAACAGUGACUUGUACAAUGUAUUCAUCAUAACAUGUAGGCCAUACAUGUAUAUAUAUAUAUAUAUGGUGACGACUUGAAACAAUGCUUAGAAUUUUGUAACAAGUUUCGAAAUCAAUGCGAUAGAUAUUGACCAGAUAUUUAACGUUAUUGAUAAGAAUGGAAAAAACAAACAAAAAGAACAAUUGUAUACAUCAGGUAGGAACCGUAGAUCUAGUUAAGGGUGCUGGCUAAAUGAUGCGUGGUUAAAAUAGAAAUUCCUUCUGCACCGACCAAUCAGAUAUCUUAAGGCUAGUAAGCUAGUCAUAUACGCCGCCUUACAUGUGCAGUUUCAUUUCUAUUAACCAGUAGGCCACCUUCAUUAAACCCUGUUAAUAAACAUUUUUGGAAAACAUCAGGAUUGGUAAGAAAUGAAAAUACUCGGUCUAACAACAUAGAAAUGAUUCUUAUAUUCUAUUAUAUUUAAUUUAGUUGCGUCACUUAGCCUUUUAUAUGUGUAAUGUACUUUAGAAUAUUUAAUGGAUUCGAGUGUCGUCUAUUUUGAUCUCGUUUGGAACUGUUAUUAUAUUUCAGUCCGUACCAUGGUAUGGAUGAAAUAUAUUGUGUUCUCUGAUGUUUCUUCUCCUUCUCC